UACGUAGGGGGCUAGCGUUGUCCGGAUUUAUUGGGCGUAAAGAGCGUGUAGGCGGCCAGGUAGGUCUGCUGUGAAAACUCGAGGCUCAACCUCGAGACGUCGGCGGAAACCAUCUGGCUAGAGUCCGGAAGAGGAGAAUGGAAUUCCCGGUGUAGCGGUGAAAUGCGCAGAUAUCGGGAAGAACACCCGUGGCGAAGGCGGUUCUCUGGGACGGUAUUGACGCUGAGACGCGAAAGCGUGGGGAGCGAACAGG
rnacentral:rRNA from 1 species